UACGUAGGGUGCAAGCGUUGUUCGGAUUCAUUGGGCGUAAAGGGUGUGUAGGUGGCGCCGUAAGUCGGGUGUGAAAUUUCGGAGCUUAACUCCGAAACUGCAUUCGAUACUGCGGUGCUUGAGGACUGGAGAGGAGACUGGAAUUCAUGGUGUAGCAGUGAAAUGCGUAGAGAUCAUGAGGAAGACCAGUGGCGAAGGCGGGUCUCUGGACAGUUCCUGACGCUGAGGCACGAAGGCCAGGGGAGCAAACGGG
rnacentral:rRNA from 1 species